rnacentral:rRNA from 1 species
GACGAACGCUGGCGGCGUGCCUAAUACAUGCAAGUUGAGCGCUGAAGGUUGGUACUUGUACCUACUGGAUGAGCAGCGAACGGGUGAGUAACGCGUGGGGAAUCUGCCUUUGAGCGGGGGACAACAUCUGGAAACGAAUGCUAAUACCGCAUAAUAACUUUAAACACAUGUUUUAAGAUUGAAAGAUGCAAUUGCAUCACUUAAUGAUGAUCCCGCGUUGUAUUAGCUAGUUGGUGAGGUUAAGGCUCACCAAGGCGAUGAUACAUAGCCGACCUGGGAGGGGGAACGGCCACAUUGGGAAUGGGACACGGCCCAAAACCCUACGGGAGGCAGCAGGAGGGGAUCUUCGGCAAAGGACGAAAGUCUGACCGAGCAACGCCGGGGGAGGGAAGAAGGUUUUCGGAUCGGAAAACUCUGUUGGUAGAGAAGAACGUAGGGGAGAGUGGAAAGCUCAUGAAGUGACGGUAACUACUCAGAAAGGGACGGCUAACUACGUG